AUUGAACGCUGGCGGCAUGCCUUACACAUGCAAGUCGAACGGUAACAGGUUAAGCUGACGAGUGGCGAACGGGUGAGUAAUAUAUCGGAACGUGCCCAGUCGUGGGUGAUAGCGUAGCGAAAGCUACGCUAAUACCGCAUACGAUCUACGGAUGAAAGCGGGGGAUCGCAAGACCUCGCGCGAUUGGAGCGGCCGAUAUCAGAUUAGGUUGUUGGUGAGGUAAAAGCUCACCAAGCCUGCGAUCUGUAGCUGGUCUGAGAGGACGACCAGCCACACUGGAACUGAGACACGGUCCAGACUCCUACGGGAGGCAGCAGUGGGGAAUUUUGGACAAUGGACGCAAGUCUGAGCCAGCAAUGCCGCGUGCAGGACGAAGGCCUUCGGGUUGUAAACUGCUUUUGUACGGAACGAAACGGUGAGCUCUAAUACAGUUUGCUAAUGACGGUACCGUAAGAAUAAGCACCGGCUAACUACGUGCCAGCCGCCGCAGUAA
rnacentral:rRNA from 1 species